AUCUCUUUGUUAACCAAUAAAGUAAAUAUUUUUAAACUCAAUGUGGCUUGUUCUGUAGCAGAUUUAAAUCAGAUGAUUGUUUUUUCUUACUUUCCCCAAAUUCCUAUUCAAUAAACAUUUUACUCUUCCUAGGAGAAUGAGAUUCUGUUGAUGUAAUGGUAUUUUUUUCAAACAAGUAAACAGAUAGAGAUAUGAAAAAAACAUCCCUUCUAUUGCUUCUGAUGUCUCAUCUAAGGAAAGUACGUGGAAGUUUAUUGGUAGCAAGGUACUACAACAAUUAAUGUCAUGAAAGAGAUGAAGUCAAUUUACAUUUCCUGCAGAAGGAAGAGGAAAAAAGAAGAACGGCAUUGUCUGUGAAGCUGAGAGAAUUUGUGUUUUCCUGUGGGCAAGCACUUGUCUUACAGGAGGCAUUGAACAAAAUGCAGGAGCAGCUAUUGUCCCACCCUGCAACAACACAGCCCAACGCUGAAGCUAUCUGCAUACAUGAAAAUCUGACAGAAUUCUUCAUUUCAAGAAG
rnacentral:lncRNA from 1 species